rnacentral:rRNA from 1 species
GACGUAGGGCGCGAGCGUUGUCCGGAUUUAUUGGGCGUAAAGAGCUCGUAGGCGGCUUGUCGCGUCGUCCGUGAAAGCCCUGGGCGUCAACCCGGGAAUUGCGCUUGAUACUGGUGCGCUUGAAUCCAGGAGAGGUUGGUGGAAUUCCCAGUGUAGAGGUGAAAUUCGUAGAGAUUGGGAAGAACACCGGUGGCGAAGGCGGCCA